rnacentral:rRNA from 1 species
CACAUGACUCUCGGCAACGGAUAUCUCGGCUCUCGCAUCGAUGAAGAACGUAGCAAAAUGCGAUACCUGGUGUGAAUUGCAGAAUCCCGUGAACCAUCGAGUUUUUGAACGCAAGUUGCGCCCGAGGCCUUUUGGUGGAGGGCACGUCUGCCUGGGCGUCACGC